GCAAGAGUUACAUGCCUCAUAUAUAUAGGAAUGGCUUAUAAUGAUGUAAUAAGCAAAAAGUAACUCCUAAGAAAACAAAAGGAUUUCAGCUACUAACUAUCAUGAUAGUGGGGCUGAAUUAUUACAAGGAAAAUGUGCAAAAUAAAAGAAGAGAUAGUGGUGCUCUUUUAUUGCUUGGUGCACCACUUUCAUAUGCUUAGUGGAGGAUCUCUUCAUUUUCCACUAUCGCAUGCUUGGAUGAUAAUCUUCAACUUUGGAUCUUUUUAUUCCAUGACCGAAAUAAUUCUUCUUGUUAAGGGAUAGAAUUUUAGGAUCACAUCAUUCCCUCCCUCUUCAAGAUAAUUCGAC
rnacentral:lncRNA from 1 species